rnacentral:rRNA from 1 species
ACGCUCGACACCUACGGAAGGCAGCAGUCGGGAAUAUUGCGCAAUGGAGGAAACUCUGACGCAGUGACGCCGCGUAUGGGAAGAAGGUUUUCGGAUUGUAAACCAUUUUAGACAAGGAAGAAACAAGACAGUACUUGUAGAAUAAGCUCCGGCUAACUACGUGCCAGCAGCCGCGGUAAUCUGAGCGGGCUGGCAAGGC